rnacentral:rRNA from 1 species
UGAGUUGAACGCUGGCGGCGUGCUUAACACAUGCAAGUCGAGCGGUAACAGAUAGAAGCUUGCUUCUAUGCUGACGAGUGGCGCACGGGUGAGUAAUAUAUAGGUAAUGUGCCCCUUAGACCGGGAUAGCCACUGGAAACGGUGAUUAAUACUGGAUACUCCUUUAUAUCGAAAGAUAUAUUGGGAAACGUUUUUUCGCUAAGGGAUCGGCCUAUAUCCUAUCAGUUAGUUGGUGAGGUAAGAGCUCACCAAGACAAUGACGGGUAGCGGGUUUGAGAGGAUGAUCCGCCACACUGGUACUGAGACACGGACCAGACUCCUACGGGAGGCAGCAGUGAGGAAUAUUGCACAAUGGGGGGAACCCUGAUGCAGCAACGCCGCGUGGAGGAUGACGCAUUUCGGUGUGUAAACUCCUUUUAUAUGUCAAGAAAAUGACGGUAGCAUAUGAAUAAGCACCGGCUAACUCCGUGCCAGCAGCCGCGGUAAAUACGGAGGGUGCAAGCGUUACUCGGAAUCACUGGGCGUAAAGGACGCGUAGGCGGGAUGUCAAGUCUGAUGUGAAAUCCUAUGGCUCAACCAUAGAACUGCAUUGGAAACUGGCAACCUAGAGUAUGGGAGGGGGAGAUGGAAUUAGUGGUGUAGGGGUAAAAUCCGUAGAUAUCACUAGGAAUACCGAAAGCGAAGGCGAUCUCCUGGAACAUAACUGACGCUAAGGCGUGAAAGCGUGGGGAGCAAACAGGAUUAGAUACCCUGGUAGUCCACGCCCUAAACGAUGAACACUAGUCGUCGGGAUGCUUGUCA